ACAGUAACAAAACUUCAGAAUUCGGUUAAGAAGGCGUUUAUUUACGGCUCUGGUUGACAAUAUUUGAAUAUAUCUUGUUGAUGCUCCUGCGUCGCCGCUCGGUGAUUCCUUGCUGCUGAUGGUCCUAGUCGCUCCGAGUACUUUCGCUGCCGCUCAUAGACGAGGGCGUGGAGUUGGACCGUUGGGCUUAGGGAAGCGUCACCGUUCUCAGACUAGGGUGAACAGGCACCACGCUCGCAAGACCUUCGUCCUGCCAGCCGCAGCCUCCUGUCCCUUGCUCUGUCCCGGCCGGUCCCGCUAGACGCUCACUCAGUUUCCUUUGACGCUCUGGUACUACGGCCAGAUCACGUCAGCAGUCCCUAUAGCCAGCGCCCAGAGAAAGACGAACGUUCCACCCUGGCCUUCCCUCCUGACUGUUGCGAUCGUACCUGAGGCUUGGCUCUUGUUGCGGUCUCUGGCGGCCAAUGUAGUCGGCCUGGUUGGUAUUACAGCCGGCACAGUUAGUCUGAUCGGUAUUACAGCCAAUGCAGCUAAACUGACCGGUAUUACAGCCAACUUAGACGCACACAGUUAGAAUAAAUUGGUAUUACAGCCAAUGUAGCCGGACUGAUUGGUAUUACAGCCGGCACAGCUAGCCUGAUCGGUAUUACAGCCAAUGCAGCUAAACUGAUCGGUAUUACAGCCAACUUCGUCGGACUAAUCGGUAUUACAGCCAAUCUUGAUGUUCUGUAGACUUGGCCGUGGGUUGCCGUUCGAGGACUCAGCUACCUGUGUCUCAAUUCGGUGACUUGCUCGGUCCCGAACGUCUCGACGUAGCGAUCUUGUUCACGGUUGGUUCUCACGGUGGUAUAUUCUUGACUUUGACUUUUACUAGACGAUGUUCACUCGUAGUUUGAUGCUCGAUGACUGGUCCUGAUUCCAGCGCUGGGCCCGUUUAUAUAGGCCUCCGGGUCCCGUUAAUCCUCGGCCAUUCCUUUUCUUCUCUCCACUCCAAGGUCCAAAGUCCACGGUUUUACCGUUUGACCUUUCGCCCUCUGCACACGGCACCACACUGAAGUCCACAGUGCAGCGCUGUACCGUUCCUUCCUUGCUCACGGCACGCCUGCGCUCUCUGGGCUCUCGCUCUGACUAGUGCCGUCUCGCUCUGGCACCUCUCUCCGCUCCGUCUCUCCCAAUCUCUCCAAACUCUCUUUGGGUUCGUACUUUGUACUUUCUCUCCUCGUACUCUCCAACUGCUUUCUCCAAACUCUCUUUUCCUGCGUUGCCGUUACUACGCGAAGUAGUUGCGUAAGUAGCAACUGGCAGGUUUUCCAUGCAGUUAUUUUUGAGAUAUUUUGUGUGGAGUUAUUUAACUCCUCACAUUCCCCUCUUUCUUCGGAUAACGAAAGUGAGCUCGAUCCUCCUCUCCGGCUGUUACCCUGUGAAUCCUUGUAGCCUUCGAGUCCUCUCGUUCUUCUCCCCACUCUGGUUCCAUCCUUAGACGUACGAAUUCUCGUUGUUCCUCUCCGGCUUUUAUCCUGUGUAUCCUUGUUGCCUUUGAGUCUUCUUGAUCCUUACAUCGACGCCCACAGCUCCUUGUUGAGUUAUACUGCGCCGAUCCGUAUUCCUUGACUUUCUCCCACGAAGCUUCCCUCGUCGAUGUAUGCUUCCUUAAAUCCCGAUGCUGCCGUCGAAAUUUUUAAAUAUCCCGCUCCAACCUUGUUCGCGGUCUCCUGUGGUUCGUCUUGGUCACACUAAUCCUUUGCGAUCGAUAACAUGACUUGCAUAUCGAUAUUACCUUGGGGUGGCGUUGCCACCUCAUCAUCGCGAUGUUUAUUAGUGUGCCUCUCAUAUGCCGAUAGUUCCAAUGUCUCGUGCCCAUCGAUCGGCUGUUAUACGAUAGUGCCAAUCGACCGCCUUAUAUCGCUGGCGCCCCCUUCCCUAAGCACAUGAUGACGCGGAGAAUUUUUCUUGCCGGUAAGUUUUCUCUUUAAUUUUCCAUUUCCCCUUUCUCUUAACUUUCUUUCUCUUUAAACCCUCCCUUUCCCUCGACUUGCCCUUGGACCGUGGCCCUCGCCUACGGGCGGAGAUGGAAAACAUAGAGGAUAAAAGGUAAAAUGGAUUGGCUGUGGCCACGAUCGUUCCCCCCCCCUUUCCAGCCGCUACCCCUCCCCAUCAUUCGAAGUACACCUGAACGGCUUUCCCAAGGAGAUAAAGAUAAAGAUGACCUGGGACAUAUAUGGACUGCCCCUUUCAUCCAAGCAGCUACCCCUCUCCACCAGUCUUUGAUGUACAGAUGAAUUGUUCUUUCUUUUUUUUUUUUUAAAUAAACUCCCCGGCUUUUUAUGGCGUUAUUAUUUUAAGUGUUUGUGCUAGUUUUGUCCGCGUUUCCAGUCCCAGUGUCAGUGUU